AUGGCCGCAGUCUCCAAGAUCCUUUCAUUGCACCCUGGGCCAGCCAAACGCCUUGACAUCCGCAUGUUCAGUACCAACUGCAAGGUCCAACCCAAGUUCGAUGAGUGGUUCUUAUCCCCCGCCCUAGACCAGAUCGAGGAGCUCAGCUUUGAAGCUGGACGAUGUCGCUCUCUGCCGCCCUCCGCGCUCCUCCUCACGCCAACACUGUGCCGCGCCAGCUUCAGCUCCUGCUAUCUUCCCCAGAUUAAUGUCGCGCCCACCCUUCUUCUCCCUCAACUCAAGCAGCUCGACCUCUUCGACGUUGUUAUCUCGAAGUAG
rnacentral:rRNA from 1 species